rnacentral:lncRNA from 1 species
CCUUUCAAAAAGGAUGUUGUAAAACUAGAAGAGUUUUCAAGAAGAACAAGUGUAAUCAGAGGCAUGAAAUAUCUUCCAUAUUAGGAACAAAUAAAUUAACAAGGACUUUUCAGUAUUGGUAAAGAAGAUGAGUGGAAGGCGAUAUGUGAAAGCAUAAAUGACAUGGAAAAAGUGAAUAGGAAAUUAUUGUUCACUGUCUCUUCCAGUACAAAAACUAGUAUGUCAAACUAACAGGCAGUAGGUUUGUAGACCUAAAAAAAGGUGAUUUUUGUUCACCCAGACAUGAAGUCCUUGUCUCCUGGAUGUGGUGGAUGUUAGAAACUUUAAUGGUUUCAAAAGUGAUUAGGAAAAAUCAUGGGAGGAAAAAGAAAAAGGAAAUUUUUGAUCAAUUCAAAUACAUCACUAUCAGUAUUAGCCAGCGAGUUGGUCUUACCUGGUUCAGCUGUUUCUAGAAUCAGAAAUAGAAGCUGUUUCUGUGUUCUCAGAAUGGGAUUAUAUAGCUCACUUCUAGGUGUGGACUAUUUUGACUCUGAGUGAUUUCUACUCUCAAAAACCUUUGCUCAGUUCAAAAACAAAUUUAGUAUGAAUAUGGAUUUAUUAAAAACUGGAAGAGAAAAUACAUCCACAGGAAUUUUUGUGGAAUGAAACACCCUAUCAACACAAGUGACUGUAGGUAACCUCAAAACCCUGAGCAUUGAAUAAGUGACCACAGUCACCUUCAGCAAGUUUUUGGACUCAACCCCAUGGCAGAACAUCCAGAAGUGGUCUUUGGUGGGUCCAGCUAGCCAUUUGGAUGCAAGUCUUUUUCAACAGGGAGACUUUCUGUGCUGUGAAUGAAGAUCAGCAACUGCAAGACCAACUUCUAUGAAGUUAGCAAAGUUUUCAGAUACAAGGAUAUGAAGGAAAUCUUCAGAAAAGAGGACACAUGCAAGAACUCCAUGGCAACUCCUGUGACUUCUGUAACAUCUUCCCCACAGGGAAACCUAGACCCAUGGAAAGUCACUGUCACACAGCUGGAAGCAAUAUCCACUGAUUAAAUAAACUCUGCUGAAGAAAGGGAAGUUUCGUAUCCUAUUUGUAUACCAAACAAGUAGUCAGUUAAAGUAGAAACUUGUCAUCUGGAUUAUAAAUAAAUCAGACUAUUCAAAAUUGAAUAUAUUUGAA